rnacentral:rRNA from 1 species
UGCAGUCGAGCGGUAGCACAGAGAGCUUGCUCUUGGGUGACAAGCGGCGGACGGGUGAGUAACGCGUAGGAAUCUACCUAGUAGUGGGGGACAACAGUUGGAAACGACUGCUAAUACCGCAUACACCCUAAGGGGAAAAGAAGGCCUCUCUUUGAAGCUUUCACUAUUGGAUGAGCCUGCGUAAGAUUAGCUUGUUGGUGGGGUAAAGGCCUACCAAGGCAACGAUCUUUAGCUGGUCUGAGAGGACGAUCAGCCACAUUGGGACUGAGACACGGCCCAAACUCCUACGGGAGGCAGCAGUGGGGAAUCUUGCACAAUGGAGGAAACUCUGAUGCAGCGAUGCCGCGUGAGUGAAGAAGGCCUUUGGGUUGUAAAGCUCUUUCGUCGGGGAAGAAAAUGACUGUACCCGAAUAAGAAGGUCCGGCUAACUUC